AACCAAAUAUACAUUAACUGUGUGUCUUUGUUGUGCAUCAUAACCUAGAAGAGGUGUCCAUAGUCUUUACACCAUACAGAGAUGGCCGACCUGCAGCCAAAAAGAGGACAGCACCUCCGUGGUUAACCAAAGCAUCAUGCACCUCCACAUACACACACAAGUUUUUCUGUAUGAGUAGCAGAAAGGACUGCCAAGUGCCCUCAUCAUCUUAUAAAGAGGAGCUCACAGCUGCUGGAAUGGGGGAGCGCAAAAUAGUAUUCCCAGUGCUGGGGAUUUCUCCGUGCAGGUGGUCCACCACUGUCCCAAACUCCCGGAGCAUGGCACUAAUGAAUGGAAAGCUGCAAAGGAUCCAGAAAGGGCAGCUGGGAUCUACAGAAGACAUUUACUGAAACAUUCAAGAGCAUGAAAGCUGUAAUGGACAUGCAAGCCCUGAGGAGAAAGAGCGUGUGGUUGUGGUUUUCUACAAGAAAAAUAACAUCA